ACGCUCGACACCUACGGAAGGCAGCAGUCGGGAAUAUUGCGCAAUGGAGGAAACUCUGACGCAGUGACGCCGCGUGCAGGAAGAAGGUUUUCGGAUUGUAAACUGCUUUAGACAGGGAAGAAAAAGGACAGUACCUGUAGAAUAAGCUCCGGCUAACUACGUGCCAACAGCCGCGGUAAUCUGAGCGGGCUGGCAAGGC
rnacentral:rRNA from 1 species